rnacentral:rRNA from 1 species
GAUGAACGCUGGCGGCGUGCCUAAUACAUGCAAGUCGAGCGAACGGACGAGAAGCUUGCUUCUCUGAUGUUAGCGGCGGACGGUUGAGUAACACGUGGAUAACCUACCUAUAAGACUGGGAUAUCUUCGGGAAACCGGAGCUAAUACCGGAUAAUAUUUUGAACCGCAUGGUUCAAAAGUGAAAGACGGUCUUGCUGUCACUUAUAGAUGGAUCCGCGCUGCAUUAGCUAGUUGGUAAGGUAACGGCUUACCAAGGCAACGAUGCAUAGCCGACCUGAGAGGGUGAUCGGCCACACUGGAACUGAGACACGGUCCAGACUCCUACGGGAGGCAGCAGUAGGGAAUCUUCCGCAAUGGGCGAAAGCCUGACGGAGCAACGCCGCGUGAGUGAUGAAGGUCUUCGGAUCGUAAAACUCUGUUAUUAGGGAAGAACAUAUGUGUAAGUAACUGUGCACAUCUUGACGGUACCUAAUCAGAAAGCCACGGCUAACUACGUG